ACCUUUAUCUUCAGCCCAGAGCUGUCUUCUGAGCUUUGGACGAAUAUAUUCAUUCAUACGUACACUCACUCACUCAACAGAUAGAGCCCCUGCCAUGUGUCAGGUGCUGUUCUCAGUAACAAAACAACAAGCCCCUGCUCUUGUGGGGCUUGACCGUGUAGUGGAGAUAAAUACUCUACGAGGAAACUAGGUCCCUCCAGGCAGGAUACCAUCUGCCAGAAAACAUGUUCCCAUCCCUUUCUUACUUUUCUUGCUUUGUGAGACAAAAAGUAAUUAUGAAGAUUUUGAGUUGUAUCAGAACAGCAUGCUGAUGGAUAUUUUUAGAUACAUAAAUGGCCCAGGUGUGGGGUCCCAAAUCUGACUUUAAAGAACAAGCUUUCCUCUAAAUUCCCCAAAGGAAAUAUAAGCAUAGAAGACAAAAUAAGGCCAAGGAGCCUUUGUUCCUGGUGUAGGCUUUGCCUCAAACCCUGCUGCAGAGCUGAGGAGGUCUCCCUUGGCUUUGAUGGGUGACCUUCUCCUCUCUAGGUAAGCCCAACCUCAGAUCCUAGAGCUGUUGCCAUGUGAGGAAGGGUGAGAGUACUCAGGGGAGUGGAGAGGUACACAAUGAGGAGAAUGUGAGCCCUAGAAUCCAGAGCAGAAGUGAUCUGGGAGGCCCAUCCAGCAGUGGGAACAUCACCAGCCCAGGAUAAGUAAGUAACUGCUGAAUCCAGGACCGAAGGAAGAUCACAAGCCUAGCACUGUGGACCAAUUUUGACUCUUAUCAUCCUCAUUAUGGAAGGAAGAGGAGAGCAGAAAAUCAGAUAGGAGUCUGGUCCAACUUGAGACUGAUACGCUGCUGGGCACUGCUGGUCUCGGUUGCUAAACCACUGCUACAAUGGCUCCACCACCUUGGAGCCUCCCCCUGCAAGACCUCCACCAAGCCACACUGCUAAAGAUGCCCCUACUGCUUUGAGCCACAUCGCCAGUGACACCGGUGGUUCUCCUCCCUUCUUCCGAGUCUUCUCUUUCCCCAAGGACUUUUCCUUGUGAAUUCACUCUGGCAACUAAUGUGUUCAAUCGAACUAUACUGAAAAAAAAAAAAAAAAAGUUCAAAAUCUCUUCCAGCGUGAGAAGAAUGCUCCUGCCCAGGGUGAUGCACUGGGUAGGUGGCUGGGUGAAGUCCUAAUCAGGACCACUUGGGCUCCUGAAACACUAUACAGUUUUGUGAAAAUGGCUUACUUUUUAGCCAUUUUAAGCCUUUCACAAUUUUGCUGUUCUUUCAAAAAUACACAGUGUUAUAAAAGUAAUACGUAUUCAAUGUAGAACAUCUGGAACACACAGAAAAGUAGAGAGACAAAAAUCAUCUAUAAUUCACCACUCGUGUGAACACUGUUAAUACUUUUCUAUGUAUAUUUUAACCUAAUUAAGAAUCAAACUAUUUCUACAGUUCAUAUCCUGCUAUGAUAAGUUAAUAUUAUUUGGGGAUUAUUGUCAGGUUUAAAUUUUCUAGAAACCCUAUUUUAAUGGCUAUGUAUUUUUCUGUAGAUAUAUCAUAAUGUAACCAUCAACUAUUGUUGAUUAUCUAGAGUAUUCCCGUUUUGCUCUUAUAAAUAAUACGUGCUAUGCAUCCUUAAA